rnacentral:rRNA from 1 species
GUGAGGAAUAUUGGUCAAUGGGCGAGAGCCUGAACCAGCCAAGUCGCGUGAAGGAAGACGGCCCUACGGGUUGUAAACUUCUUUUGCAAUGGAAUAAAAAGAGUUACGUGUAAUUCAUUGUAUGUACAUUGCGAAUAAGGAUCGGCUAACUCCGUGCCAGCAGCCGCGGUAAUACGGAGGAUCCGAGCGUUAUCCGGAUUUAUUGGGUUUAAAGGGUGCGUAGGCGGAUUGGAAAGUCAGCGGUGAAAGUUUGCAGCUUAACUGUAAAAUUGCCAUUGAAACUGUCAGUCUUGAGUGCACAUGAGGUAGGCGGAAUGUGUUGUGUAGCGGUGAAAUGCAUAGAUAUAACACAGAACACCAAUUGCGAAGGCAGCUUACUGGGAUGCAACUGACGCUGAGGCACGAAAGCGUGGGGAUCAAACAGGAUUAGAAACCCGUGUAGUCC